UACCUCCCCCCCACUCCCCUCAUCCCUGAGUCAUUCUUUGCCUUUCGUCACAGGAGGUUGGCAGAGAAGUGUCGGAAGAUUCGGGGUAGUCUCUUAUGGAGGGUAGUACUCUUCGCAAUGGGACUGGAGUUUUAAGUAGUCCUGUCAGUCUCUCAGUGAGAGCAUGGGUAAAUGUUAAGAGUCCACAGAUGCAGGGAGAGUCUUUCUGCGAACCCAUCCCGACUCAGUUUAACAGCUCCAUUAGCAAUCAGUUUUGACGAGUUUUGCUGCAUGCUUUUCUUCUCUCAAGUCCAUGUCAGGAGCGAUUCUACUACCUUGUCGCACUUGAAGGGCCGUGUUUCUGUUCCACGACAUUGAUUCUGGUAAGAUCGUUUCAUAUAUAUAUAUAUAUAUAUAUAUAUAUAUAUAUAUAUAUGAUAAUGCACCAAGACAGGGUCACAGUGUGGCUCCCUUUAUCUCUAUUGAAUCUAAGGUAAUACCCUCGGAAGGGGGCUGUUGAACAGGGGGGAUAUUAUGCAUAAUAUUGAUUAUUGUGUUUGCUACUGCAUUUGUGGGAGAUGAGGCUCUGUUAGUCUGGAACACAGUUUAUAGGGAGAAAAUUGUGGUGGGCUUUUUUGGCGCAUCCAUCUCUCGAGUGCAGGGGCGGUCCUGCAUGGCACUCCAUGUGACCGGGUGUGACCUCUACAACUUCCUCUUUCUCGACCUGCGUUCAGAGAAGACGAAAGCCGUUUCUUGUAGUCUGGGUCAUAGGAGGUGGUGAGUGCCCUGACCAUUGGAAAAUAAAGGUGCCAUUUAUAUUUUGAUCAAGUCUGUAAUAAAGGCGCAAGCUAUGUAGGACUCUGAUAUAUUAGAGGAUACUCCCUCUUUAUCUAAACCCAUUAACUGUUUAUAUUGUGAGGAGGUUCCUGUCGAACCAUCGAUGCAACUCUGUUCUACAUGCUUUGACAGUAUUGCCAUUUCCAAAAGAAUAAAGUAUUUAGUAUUACUGAGCCGUCCACCUCUGAGGGUUCUCCGCUCCGUGAGGUGCGUUCGUUGCAAUCAUAUCCGAUUCCACAAGCAGUUCUCCAGGGCACUACUAAUCCUCCUGCGGGCUCUGCGGCCAUUAAUGCGAUGCCUCAUCCUUCUAAGCGUGAGCAGAAGGUACGGCACUGCUAUCCGUCUCGGGGGUCUUUGACUCCGCUGGCUGUCUCAGACAGAUUAUCAGCUGAGGAUGACAACUCCGACUUAUCGGAGGAUGUCCCUUCUAGGGCAGAAUCGGCUACUUCUAGGCCUCCGUCCGCGGAGGAGCCUGAUUUUAAGUUUAAGAUGGAGCAUUUGCGCUAUCUGCUAAAAGAGGUGCUUGCUACAUUGGAGGUUCCAGAACCAAAACUACCGGAGGAACCUUCAAUUCCUAAACUUGAUAGUCUAUGAGGACAGGGUAGUGCCCCAGGCCUUCCCGGUUCCAGUCAAGAUGGCUAACAUUAUUAAGAAUGAAUGGGAGAAACUUGGUUCGUCUUUUUCCCCCCUCCUCUUAAUUUAAAAAGCUUUUCCCCAUUCCAGAGGCGCAGCUUAAACUAUGGGGAACUGUCCCUAAGGUGGAUGGUGCUAUCUCCAUGCUUGCUAAGAGAACGAGUCCAUGUUGCAGAAGAUGUUCCAAAUCACGGGGUUAGUUUUUCAGCCGGCGGCGGCAGUCGCCGCUACCUACUGGUGUGACGCACUAGCAGCAAUGGUGGAGACUCCUCUCGAUGAAAUUCUAGACCGAAUUGAGGCCUUAAAGGUGGCACAUUCGUUAAUUUGUGAUGCUAACAUGCAGAUUAUUCGCCUGACAUCAGGGUUUUCUGUUUUAGCCCGCAGGGCUCUGUGGCUAAAGUCGGGAUCUGCUGACAUGACUUAUAAGUCUCGUUUGCUUUCCCUCCCAUUCAAGGGGAAAGUUUUCUUUGGCCCGGGCCUGGAUUCUAUCAUCUCUACGGUCACAGGUGGCAAGGGUGCCUCAGGAUAAGAAGGCUAAACCAAAGGGAUCUACUUUUCAUCCUUUUCGUGCAACCUGCCGCAAAGUCAGAGCAAUCCAAGGGAUCUUGGAAGCCAGCUAACUCUUGGAAGAAGUCCAAGCAGAACAAGAAGCCCACCGAAUCAGUCAGCAUGAAGGGGCGGCCCCCGGUCCGUCAUCGGAUCACGUAGGGAGCAGACUAUCUUUUUGCGGAGGCCUGGAGAAGAGACGUUGUAGACUCUUGGGUUCUGGAGGUCGUAUCCCAGGGUUACAGGAUAGAUUUUAAGUCUUAUCCACCCAGAGGCAGAUUCCUCCUGUCAAACAUAUCCUCAAGACCAGAAAAGAGAGACACCUUCCUGGGGUGUGUGAAGAAUCUCAUCUCUUGGGGUAAUCGUCCCAGUUCCUCCGGCAGAAAGAGGUCUGGGAUAUUAUUCAAACCUUUUCGUAGUCCCAAAGAAGGAAGGUACGUUUCGUCCAAUUCUGGACCUAAAGGCCCUAAAGAAGUUCUUGUCAGUUUCAUUGUUCAAGAUGGAGAUAAGGUCAAUUUUGCCCCUGGUGCAAAAGGGGCAAUUCAUGAGGACUAUAGACCUGAAGGACGCCUACCUUCACAUUCCAAUCCACAGGGAUCACUUCAGGUUUCUAAUAUUAGUCUUCCUGGACCAGCACUUCCAGUUUGUGGCCCCUCCGUUUGGUCUGGCGACUGCCCCAAGGGUCUUCACAAAGGUUCUGGGAGCUCUACUCGCAGUAGCGAGAGCCAGAGGAAUUACAGUGGCACCUUAUCUGGACGAUAUCCUGGUCCAGGCUCUGUCCUACAGUCUUGCGGGGGAUAACUAGAGAGCUCUUCUCCUUCGAUGCCACAGGUGGAAGAUAAACGAGGGAAAGAGUUCAUUGGUCCCCAGCAAUAGGGUGGAGUUCCUGGGUACGAUAAUAGAUUCUUCAGCCAUGAAGAUAAUCUUGACAGAUUAAAGACGGUGCAAGCUUGCGUCCAACUGUCUAGCUCUUCAGACAUCCUCCAGGACAUCUGUGGCCAGGUGUAUGGAGGUGAUCGGGCUCAUGGUAUCCAGCAUAGAUGUCAUUCCUUUUGCCAGGUUCCAUCUCAGACCUCUUCAGCUGUGCAUGUUGAAAUAAUGGAACUGCGAUCAUUGAGAUAUGUCCCAACAGAUAUCUCUAGACAGAACGGUGAGGGAGUCCCUAUCUUGGUGGACUCGACCGGGGCAGUUUUCUCAGGGGACAUCCUUUUUGAGACCAUCCUGGGAGAUUGUGACCACGGAUGCAAGUCUAUCAGGAUGGGGAGCUGUUUGGGGUGUCAGAAGGGUGCAGGGCAGAUGGUCUCGAGAAGAGUCAAGUCUACCUAUAAAUAUUUUGGAACUUUGAGCGAUAUUCAACGCUCUGAGGGCUUGGCCCCUUCUGGGGUCGUCCCGAUUCAUCAGAUUCCAGUCGGACAACAUUACCUCGAUGGCUUACAUAAACCAUCAAGGGGGGACGAGAAGCUCCCUAGCCAUGAGGGAAGUAUCUUGGAUUCUGGAAUGGGUAGAUACUCACAAUUGUUUACUCUCAGCGAUCCACAUUCCGGGUGUGGACAACUGGGAAGUGUUUUUUUGAGCAGACAGACCUUUCAUCCAGGGGAAUGGUCCCUCCAUCCCUAGAUGGUUGUGGAGAUCUGCAGCAGAUGGGGGACGCCGAAAAUAGAUCUCAUGGUGUCCAGACUCAAUUGCAAGCUACCCAGAUACGGGGCGCGAUCCAGGGAUCCCCAGGUGGAACUGAUAGAUGCCUUGGCAGUACCCUGGGACUUCAACCUAAUUUACAUAUUCCACCGUUACCUCUUCUACCUCGAGUAGUGUCCUACAUCAAGCAGGAGCAAGCUUCGGCUAUUCUGAUUGCUCCGUCCUGGCCAUGGAGGAUGUGGUUUGCAGAUCUGGUGGCGAUGUAGUCAUCUCCACCGUGGAAGUUACCUUUUCCCAGGGAUCUGCUAGUUCAAGGUCCUUUUCUACAUCAAAAUCUCGAUUCUGUGAGGCUGACUGCGUGGAGAUUGAACGCCUAGUCUUAGCCAAGAGAGGAUUUUCGGAAAAAGUGAUUGACACUCUUGUUCAGGCCAGGAAGCCGGUCACUUGACACAUCUACCACAAGGUGUGGAGGACCUACUUGUCCUGGUGUGAGGAACGAGGAUACCCAUGGCACAAGGUCGGGGUAUCCAGGAUUUUGGCCUUUCUCCAGGACGGUCUGGAUAAGGGUCUUGCCGCCAGUUCCCUGAGGGGACAGAUCUUGGCUUUAUCUGUACUGUUGCAUAAGAAGCUUGCAGAGCUUCCUGACAUUCAGUCCUUUGUUCAGGCGCUGGUUAGGAUCAGGCCUGUCUUCAGGAACCUGGCUCCUCAUUGGAGCUUAAACUUGGUUCUUAAGGUUUUGCAGAAGGCUCCGUUUGAGCCUAUGCACGCUCUUGACAUUAAAGUUCUUUCGUGAAAAGUUCUAUUAUUACUGGCUAUUGCAUAGGCACGCAGAGUCUCUGAGUUUGCAGCCUUGCAACGUGAGCCUCCCUACUUGGUGUUUCAUGCUGAUAAGGCUGUUCUUUGCACUGGAUUGGGUUUUCUUCCCAAGGUAGUGUUGAGUCGUAACAUCAAUCAGGAAAUAGUAGUUUCUUCUUUGUGUCCUAACCCUUCUUCUUCAAAGGAGAGGUUACUUCAUAAUCUGGACGUGGUUCAGGCUUUGAAGUUUAAUCUUCAGGCCACAAAGGAGUUCAGACAGACUUCAUCCUUAUUUGUUGUAUAUUCGGGGAAGCACAGGGGGUCAAAGGGCCUCUGCUACCUCUCUCUAUCUUUUUGGUUGAGGAGUAUGAUCCGUCUGGCAUACGGGACACAAGCCUCCUCAGAGGAUUACGGCUCACUCGACUAGAGCUGUGGCCUCUUCUUGGGCCUUUAAGAAUGAGGCUUCUAUGGAACAGAUUUGUAAGGGGGCUACUUGGUCUUCCUUACAUACUUUUGCAAAAAUUUAUAAAUUUGACGUUUUUGCUUCUGCGGAAGCAGCUUUUGGGAGAAAGGUUCUGCAGGCUGUGGUGCCCUUAGUAUAGGGUCCGCCUCCUUUUGCCCUGCCAUUUUUUUCAUUCAGUGUCCUCUAGAGCUUGGCUAUUUUUUCCGACAAGUAAUGAAUGAAGCAGUGGACUCUCUUCCCAUUAAGAUGGGAAAACAUAAAUUAUGCAUACCUGAUAAUUUAAUUUCCAUUUGUGGUAGAAGAGUUCACUGCACUCGCCCGUUUCUCCAGUGGGUGGACCUAAAUUUAUUAUUGAUCUUCUGGCACCACAUAACAAUUCUUUCAUAACAAUUCAAAAGAAAAUGUGCUAACAAAACACUUGGAUACAGGUGGGUUGAAUUGCAUGCAUCUCAUACCAUUUUUUUUCCAUGAGAGAAUGGAGAGAAAAGAAGGGGAGGGGAGAAAAGGAAGGGAAAGGAAAGAACAAUACACUUUGAAACAAUCACUGCCCUUCACAUGCAACAACAUACAGUAAUAACCAUCAUUCAAGUAAUUAAACUUUUUAAGUGUCCAAUUACUAUUUACUCUGUGGGUUCAUGAAUGCAGAGAAAGCUAGUUAUUAGUAGCUAACAUACAUUAGUGCUGAGAGUUUAUGAUUAGACAUUACAAGCUGAUCUAAGUAGUGCACAGACACAUCCAGUAUGUUAGUUACUAAUACCUGCAAUAAGCACUGCGCUCGCAGACCCACCACAGCUGAAAGGGGAGGCAGCAUAUCGGUACAAGGUCUUCUCCUCCAGCCUCACCUUGUAAGCAUAUCCCUGGGCAAGUUUCUCAACGAGAAUGCUUCCACUGCAAAAAUGCAGGCGGCUCUAAGUGAAGCAACGGUUUAACGGAGCACUGCCUAAGAAGAGUGAACUUGAUCAGCGCACGUGCCUUGUCUUUGUAAAAGCCUGCACUUUAUCGCUCACUGUACUGUGUGCUGGCUUUUAGAGAGAGGACAGGGCAGAUAUGCUGCCCCUCCCAAAUCUUCCGUCCUAGGCACUGGCCUUGUUGGUCUAGGCCAUAAUGCGCCCCUGUCUGGCACCAUUUAUACCCUGAUAUUUCUACUACUGUUCCUUGUUCCCUUGGCAGAAUGACUGGAGGAUGAGGGAGUGGGGGAGAUAUUUAAGCCUUUGGCUGGGGUGUCUUUGCCGCAUCCUGGUGGCCAGGUUCUUAAUUCCCACAAGUAAUGAAUGAAGCCGUGGACUCUCCUCCCAGAGAUGGAAAUUAAAUUAUCAGGUAAGCAUAAUUUAUGUUUUAUAGAUAUGUGUUAGAACAUGUUUUAUUUAUUCUAUAAACUACUGACAAUUCUAAAUGAAAAUAUGGUCUUUUAGAGCAUUUAUUUGCAGAAAAUGACGACAACUGAUCAAAAUAACAAACAUAUGCAGUGUUUUCAGACCUCAAAUAAUGCAAAGAAAACAAGUUCAUAUUCAUUUUUAUACAACGCAAUACUGUUUUAACUUAGAAGAGUUCAGAAAUUAAUAUUUGGUGGAAUAACCCUGAUUUUCAAUCACAGCAUUCAUGUGUCUUGGCAUGCUCUCCAUCAGUCUUUCACAUUGCUGUUGGGGGACUUUAUGCCACUCCUGGUGCAAAAUUUCAAGGAACUCUGCUUUGUGUGAUGGCUUGUGACCAUUCAUCUUCCUCUUUAUCACAUUCCAGAGGUUUCAAUGGGCUACAGGUCUGGAGAUUGGGCUGUCUAUGACAGGGUCUUGAUCUUUUGCUCCUCCAUCCACAUCUUGAUUGACCUGGGUGUGUGGCAUGGAGCAUUGUCCUGCUGGAAAGAACAAUCCUAAGAGUUGGGGAUCAUUGUCAGGGCAGGAGGAAACACGUUUUCUUCCAGGAGAACCUUGUAUGAUAUGGAUCAAAUAUAUAGAGGCGCUGGUCUUGAAAAUAGAAGAACCUUGUAUGAUGUAGGCUUGAUUCAUGCAUUCUUCACAAAGAUCUGCAAAUAAAUGCUCUUAAUGAUGAUGUUUUUAUUUGAGAGGAAUGUUGUCAGCAGUUUAAAGAGUAAGACAAAAAUGUUAAUUUUACUCAAACACAUAUCUAUAAAUAGUAAAACUAGAGAAACUGGUAAUUUUGCAGUGGUAUCAUAUAUAUAUAUAUAUAUAUAUAUAUAUAUAUAUAUAUAUAUAUAUAUAUAUAUAUAUAUAAAUACAGUAUAUGACAGAGAGAGAGAGAAUUUGACUUUUUUUUCCCUAUCUUUAACAUUUCUUUUGGACUAGUAACUUUUUCACAUUUUUACUCUUUAACAAAUUUAAAGAAAGUUGACUUCCAUCUGUUUCCGACUGUAACAAAUUUGAUUUUAUAUUGCAUAGAAUAUGUGCAGCUAGAAGUUAAUGUUUAGAAAUUUAGAUAGGUCACUGAUUGGAAAAAUGUUUUCAAAGUCCAUGAUUAUCUGAGUGGUUAUAGUUUUUAAAGGCUUUUGUAUCUUAAUAAGGAUUACUUAGUUAUUGUACAAUAAAACACAUUCUCUAAUAAUUUAGUUAUAGACUAAUAUAUAUAAUUGGAAGCUGUAGCUGAAAAUCUUGCUUAGUGAUAUAUUUAUAUUAAUGCCAGUGAUAAUUACUUAAAUUGCUUUAAUGACUCGACUAUCAAUACAUGACGCACUGAUUCUUCUCUACUCGCAACUUGUAUAUAUUUUUAGCGACUGGCUUGACUUGAGAGCAUUGUGUAAGGACUUGAGAUUUGAAGGUGGAGACUUGACUUUAGACUUGAAGUAAAAGACUUGAAUCCAUCACUGAUUAAUGCUGCUUUCGAUUGUUUUGCUGCUCAGUGGGCUUUGUAACCAUUUGCACAUGCGCACAUUUACCAGAAACAAAUAGUUGGUAAUUAUUGCUAUACUUUUGGAAACAUCAGCACUAGAACACAGCAUUCAGUGACAAUUCCAUGUGAAUAGUUUUGUCUGGGGUGGUAAUAUGGUUAUCCAUAAAGCAUGAUGCAACUACUCAGAAUCCCUCCUGUUGUGAAAAACAUGUAAAUUUUACAUUCUAUUUAUUUCGGUUGGUGAUCCCUCAUAGAGUUCUAUAUAGGCAAUGAUAAUAUAUUUUUGUAUCUGUGUAUAUACUUGUUUUACAAUGUAAAAUAAAGAAAGUAAUUCAAAA